UUGGCCCUAGAAACCCGUGCUUAGGGUUUGUCGUCGACUUCUUCUUCCAGAAGCGACCUCGCCGAUGUAAUUGAUGAAACCAAACUGUCGAUCUGAGCUCUGUAACACCUCCUGAUCCAUAAAUCAUUUAUUUACUCUGAGUAUUCCUCAAUUAAUCCACUCCACCCAUGUUAAUCAAACAAAAUACCUCUUCGUUUUCCACCUGGUUCGAGCUUCCCCUAUAAAUGUCUCUCAUUUCUACGAUGUGGAGUACAACGCAAACAAUUUCCAAAAGCAAUUAUUUGGAUGUUGGAGUCUCUGUCAGAUAUUCAAAUAACACAAUUGAGGAACCACAAUAUCUAUCUCACACAGAUGUUUCCUGCGACUGCGAUAAUUCAGCGUCCAAACCUCCAUCCUUGGAGAUUGGUCACGUUUAGACUAUGGAGUUGAGCUUCAGGAUACGUUGAUGUUAGACUUCAACUGCUGCCAGCUACUCUAAAUUUGUGAUUGUGAGCCGUGAAAUAAGAAGUGCUUUAGUGGCAUAAUGUCCCCCCAAUCGAUUCAGUGGUACACACUUAUCAUACUCCUCUUUUUACCUUGACUAUGUAGUAACAAGAUUGACAGAUCUGCACUUUCUCCUUUUUCCCUUUAGACUAUGAGGUUUUCCCUUUAGAUUUCUAUUUCUUAUUUUUAUUCAACUGUUUAAGAAUCUCUCAGAAUUUCAUUCCACAAUGUCAAAAACUCCAGAUUUUCCAGGUAAAGUAACCUGCAAAAUCUUAACUUCCUCUCUUCUCUACGUAUCUUUAAUGUUUGAUUGAUAUUUUCGCAGAUGAGGCCCUGCAACAACAUAAUCCGACAUUAAAGAGACUCGCAAGAGGCUCUUGCAGCUUAAAAAGCUUCUUGAAGAGGUCUUCGAUGCUCUCAUGAACCUCACUGUUGACUUGGUUUUAACUGCUCAUCCUACUCAAUCUAAUCAUUGGUCUUUGCUCCAAAUUUUUGGGAGGUUUGUAGACCUUUUCCUGAGUGUCUAUGCUUGAUAAAUGAUGUGUUUAACUGUUGAACAUUUCUGAAUCCAUGAAACCCGCAAGUAACUCAUGAAGUUACAUAUAUAUAUAUGCUUACGAGCUUGGUUCGAGGUGGGAGGAUCAGUUUACUCAUUCACCAUUCCUAUUGCAAUUUGAAAGUUGAAGAGUCUUUUUUUUCACUGGUUGAAGAGUCUCAUAAUGGUUCUAUA